CAAACGGAGAGUUUGAUCCUGGCUCAGGAUGAACGCUGGCGGCGUGCCUAACACAUGCAAGUCGAACGGAGUAGCAAUACUUUAGUGGCGCACGGGUGAGUAACACGUAGCUAACCUAC
rnacentral:rRNA from 1 species